rnacentral:lncRNA from 1 species
AAAACAACCGGCUGUAAUCCGAGGGAUUAUAGUGAAUUCCCAAGUGAGGCUUGGGGAGUGGACGUAGGAGCAAGAGUUAGCUCCGAACCACUAUAAAAUUGCUUGUAUUUGUGAUUGCUUCAUUGUCUCUUACUUUCCCUUCAUCCACUGCAUAUAGCAACUAAUUAAUCCACUCGCAAAAAGUUUUAAUUAGUUACUCACAAAGCUUUU